rnacentral:lncRNA from 1 species
GAACGCUGUUCUGCAAUUACGCUCCUUUGUGAUGUAUCUUUGGGUCUGGCCCAACCCAUGGUCUGCUACAACUGCAUAGGAAAUAGCAACAACAAAAAAGUUUGGAUUUACUUUGUGAUAUAGAACUGUCAACUGCAAGGGAGUUCUUGUGUUUGGAUUUUCAAGAUCAAAUCACCUCAAGAAGCUGUAGAGUCUAAGACCCACACAUUUAAGACUAGGAUAUUCAGGAAUCCCCAUAGCUGUGGUUUUUGUAAGGAGAUCAUAUGGAAUGAGGGUAGAAUAUGCAGAGUAUGUAGAUUUGCUUGCCACAAACGGUGUGAAUACAAGGUAAGUGCUACCAAUUUCCAUUCUGCCAGUUUCUUCUCUCAACAGAUGGCCAAAAAUGAUAUACUAUUUGAAUUGAGCCAAGAGAGUCUAUAUUGAUAAAUACACAUUUUGAUGGGGAAAUUAAUUUU